rnacentral:rRNA from 1 species
UACUGCAAGACGUACAUGUCGCGCAGUUACGAAAGUAGGACUUAGUGAACCGACGCUACAUUAUAGAAUGGGCGAAGAUCAUCGGAUAAAAGCUACCCCGGGGAUAACAGGCUAGUCGCUUCCAAGAGGCCAUAUCGACGAAGCGGUUCGGCACCUCGAUGUCGGCUCAUCUUAUGCUGGGGCUGGCGAAGGUCCCAAGGGUUUGGCUGUUCGCCAAUUAAAAAGGUACGUGAGCUGGGUUCAAACCGUCGCGAGACAGGUUGGUCUCUAUCUGCUGCAGGCGUUGAUACUUGAGGAGCGUCAUCUCUAGUACGAGAGGACCGAGAUGACGGAACCUCUGGCGUACCGGCUGUCCUGCCAAGGGCAUCGCCGGGUAACUACGUUCCGAAUUGAUAAGCGCUGAAAGCAUCUAAGCGCGAAGCAAUCUCCAAGAUUAGGUAUCGAGGCCCCGCAAUUGCGGGGCGAGAGCUUCCUCGAAGAUUACGAGGUUGAUAGGCGAUAGGUGUAAGCGCAGUAAUGCGUUGAGCCAAGUCGUACUAAUAAAGCGAAAUCUACUCAUC